rnacentral:lncRNA from 1 species
CUGGGAACUUCUAUGUGCUGCGGGUGCAGCCCUAAAAAUAAAAACAGAAAAUAAAAUAAAAUAAGAUGCCCUUGGCAUCAUUGUGCACCCCCCUUGCCCCCCGUCAUGUUCUUUCCCUGCCCUGCUAGUGUGUGGCGGUGGGUGGCAGGACCCAGAGACAUGGCCAGUGCCAGGAGCCACACAGCAGCAGCUUCUCUCUCCUCCCAGAUCAGCCCUGUCAGCCCUCCUCGAACCCGCACUGCCCGCCUGAUGACCGCCAAGGAGGGCCAGGCCCUGCUGAGUCACGAGGCCGCUCCCCCGCUGGGCACUGAGUCAUUCUUAACGAGCCCUCUGACGGGCAAACUGCUGCCAUCAUCCAGGAUUCACCCAAGUCUGCAGGAUUUGAGAACAUUCUUCCGGGAAGGAGUCUGGAGCCUCCCCCACACGGCUGCCCACAUCAGGAGCCUCAGAUACAGAGGCCUUUUUCCUUGCCUUUGGCCUCAGCAUCCAACACUCCACUCUUCUCAUGGAAACUCCGGGGGAGCGGCAGCGGAAACUCCAUCCGAUGCUUCACUGGGAAUCGGCAC